AAGGAUGACCAAGUGUGUGGUGUUUAUUACUCUAAGUGUGAUGAUGGUGCUGACUACUGGACAGGACUAUCAAGUGGCGAAAUCAGCUGUGACUUUGGUGGUGAUGCACACACAACAGCUGGUGAUGGUGGUAGUAAUGGUGGAAGCAACUUACAGAGAUUAUCUGCCAGACUAAAGAAGCCAGUUGGA